CGCGUUGACUGCGGAGGUCUUACAGAGCGAAAGCUAUACAGAUUUGAUUAAUUGCUUCCGCACACACUAUAACCUUUUUAUUUUGAUCAACUUUUUUAAUUAAAACUUUCAACAACGGAUCUCUUGGUUCUCGCAUCGAUGAAAAACGCAGCGAAAUGCGAUACGUAAUAUGAAUUGCAGAAUUUCCUGAAUCAUCCAAUCCUUGAACGCACAUUGCGCCCGGGGGUAUUCCACCCGGCAUGCCUGUUUGAACGUCAUUUCCCCCUCCAACUUUUAAUUUGGCAGUGAGUGCACGUAAGUCUACUUGAAAUUUAACUUGCUGAAGAAUAAGAAUACCCCACAUCCACAACCAAAAAGUUUGACCUCCAAUCAGGGAAGACUACCCGCUGAACUUAAGCAUAUCAAUAAGCCGGAAGAAA
rnacentral:rRNA from 1 species